rnacentral:rRNA from 1 species
UGGCGACCGGCGCACGGUGAGUAACGCGUAUGCAACUUACCUAUCAGAGGGGGAUAGCCCGGCGAAAGUCGGAUUAAUACCCCAUGAAACAGGGGUCCCGCAUGGGAGUAUUUGUUAAAGAUUCAUCGCUGAUAGAUAGGCAUGCGUUCCAUUAGGCAGUUGGCGGGGUAACGGCCCACCAAACCGACGAUGGAUAGGGGUUCUGAGAGGAAGGUCCCCCACAUUGGUACUGAGACACGGACCAA